UACGUAGGCAGCGAGCGUUGUUCGGAAUUACUGGGCGUAAAGAGUGUGUAGGCGGUGCUCCCAGUCUGUUGUGAAAUCUCCCGGCUUAACUGGGAGGGUGCAGCGGAAACUAGAGUGCUAGAGGGUGGGAGAGGUAAGCGGAAUUCCGCGUGUAGCAGUGAAAUGCGUAGAGAUGCGGAGGAACACCGAUGGCGAAGGCAGCCCCCUGGGUCGACACUGACGCUCAGGCACGAAAGCGUGGGGAGCAAACAGG
rnacentral:rRNA from 1 species